rnacentral:lncRNA from 1 species
UCGACUUCAUCUUUACCGGCCAUUGCACCUUGUUGCCCAGCUUCUCAAGUGCGUACACUAUCUCUGAAGGGGACACGCAAAACUUAUGGGCAGAUAAUAAAGGGGGUGUACCUCUGUCGUUUCGUAGUGAGGCGGCAUGUCGCUGUAGUGCAUCCGUGUGCAUGGGUGGCGGUGGGUGAGAGGAUCUUAUAUAUGGUUGGUUCUCC